rnacentral:rRNA from 1 species
AUUGAACGCUGGCGGCAUGAUUUACACACGCAAGUCGAACGGUAACAGGCCUUCGGGCGCUGACGAGUGGCGAACGGGUGAGUAAUGCAUCGGAACGUGCCCAGUCGUGGGGGAUAACGCAGCGAAAGCUGUGCUAAUACAGCGUACGAUCCGCGGAUGAGAGCGGGGGACCUUCGGGCCUCGCGCGAUUGAAGCGGACGAUGCCAGAUUAGGUAGUUGGUGGGGUAAAGGCUCACCAAGCCAACGAUCUGUAGCUGGUCUGAGAGGACGAACAGCCACACUGGGACUGAGACACGGCCCAGACUCCUACGGGAGGCAGCAGUGGGGAAUUUUGGACAAUGGGCGAAAGCCUGAUCCAGCCAUGCCGCGUGUGUGAAGAAGGUCUUCGGAUUGUAAAGCACUUUAAGUCGGGAGGAAGGGCUGCAGGUUAAUACCUUGCAGCCUUGACGUUACCGACAGAAUAAGCACCGGCUAACUUCGUGCCAGCAGCCGCCGUAAAAC